rnacentral:rRNA from 1 species
GACGGAGGAUGCAAGUGUUAUCCGGAAUCACUGGGCGUAAAGCGUCUGUAGGUGGUUCGAAAAGUCCACUGUUAAAAAUUGAGGCUUAACUUCAAAGAUGCCGUGGAAACUUUCAAACUAGAGUAUGGUAGGGGUAGAGGGAAUUUCCAGUGGAGCGGUGAAAUGCGCAGAUAUCAGGAGGAACACCGGUGGCGAAGGCGGCUCUCUGGGCCUUACCUGACGCUGAGGAAGCGAAAGCGUGGGUAGCGAACAGG